rnacentral:rRNA from 1 species
UACGUAGGCAGCAAGCGUUGUUCGGAAUUACUGGGCGUAAAGAGUGUGUAGGCGGUGUUCUAAGUUUGUCGUGAAAUCUCCCGGCUUAACUGGGAGGGUGCGGCGAAAACUGGAGUGCUAGAGUUCUGGAGGGGGUAGCGGAAUUCCUGGUGUAGCGGUGAAAUGCGCAGAUAUCAGGAGGAACACCGGUGGCGAAGGCGGGUCUCUGGACAGUUCCUGACGCUGAGGCACGAAGGUCAGGGGAGCAAACGGG